UGAGGAAUAUUGGUCAAUGGACGAGAGUCUGAACCAGCCAUGCCGCGUGAAGGAUGAAGGCGUUCUGCGUUGUAAACUUCUUUUGUAUAGGGAUAAACCUUUCCACGUGUGGAAAGCUGAAGGUACUAUACGAAUAAGCACCGGCUAACUCCGUGCCAGCAGCCGCGGUAAUACGGAGGGUGCGAGCGUUGUCCGGAUUUAUUGGGUUUAAAGGGUGUGUAGGCGGAUUAUUAGGUCAGCGGUGAAAUCUCCAGGCUCAACCUGGAAACUGCCAUUGAUACUAUUAGUAUUGAAUAUUGUUGAGGUGGGCGGAAAGAGUCAUGUAGCGGUGAAAGGCAUAGAUAUGACAUAGAACACCAAUUGCGAAGGCAGCUUACUACGGAUUGAUUGACACUGAGGCACGAAAGCUUGGGGAUCAAACA
rnacentral:rRNA from 1 species